rnacentral:rRNA from 1 species
GCGUGGGUGAUGAAGGCCUUAGGGUUGUAAAGCCCUUUCGGCGGGGACGAUGAUGACGGUACCCGCAGAAGAAGCCCCGGCUAACUUCGUGCCAGCAGCCGCGGUAAUACGAAGGGGGCUAGCGUUGUUCGGAAUUACUGGGCGUAAAGGGCGCGCAGGCGGCCGAUGAAGUCAGAUGUGAAAGCCCCGGGCUCAACCUGGGAACUGCAUUUGAUACUCGUUGGCUAGAGUUCGGGAGAGGAGAGUGGAAUUCCCAGUGUAGAGGUGAAAUUCGU